rnacentral:rRNA from 3 species
CCGUACACAAAAGCGCAUGUGCUGUGAGCUCGAUGAGUAGGGCGGGACACGUGGUAUCCUGUCUGAAUAUGGGGGGACCAUCCUCCAAGGCUAAAUACUCCUGACUGACCGAUAGUGAACCAGUACCGUGAGGGAAAGGCGAAAAGAACCCCGGCGAGGGGAGUGAAAAAGAACCUGAAACCGUGUACGUACAAGCAGUGGGAGCACAGGUUUACCUGUGUGACUGCGUACCUUUUGUAUAAUGGGUCAGCGACUUAUAUUCUGUAGCAAGGUUAACCGUAUAGGGGAGCCGGAGGGAAACCGAGUCUUAAUUGGGCGUUAAGUUGCAGGGUAUAGACCCGAAACCCGGUGAUCUAGCCAUGGGCAGGUUGAAGGUUGGGUAACACUAACUGGAGGACCGAACCGACUAAUGUUGAAAAAUUAGCGGAUGACCUGUGGCUGGGGGUGAAAGGCCAAUCAAACCGGGAGAUAGCUGGUUCUCCCCGAAAGCUAUUUAGGUAGCGCCUCGUGAAUUCAUCUCCGGGGGUAGAGCACUGUUUCGGCUAGGGGGCCAUCCCGGCUUACCAACCCGAUGCAAACUGCGAAUACCGGAGAAUGUUAUCACGGGAGACACACGGCGGGUGCUAACGUCCGUCGUGAAGAGGGAAACAACCCAGACCGCCAGCUAAGGUCCCAAAGUCAUGGUUAAGUGGGAAACGAUGUGGGAAGGCCCAGACAGCCAGGAUGUUGGCUUAGAAGCAGCCAUCAUUUAAAGAAAGCGUAAUAGCUCACUGGUCGAGUCGGCCUGCGCGGAAGAUGUAACGGGGCUAAACCAUGCACCGAAGCUGCGGCAGCGAACGUAUCACCCAAGACAACUUUACGGAGUUGACGAUUGACGGAGCGAAGCGACGUCAAAGCGUUCAUUAAAGUCGAGUUGGCUUAGGGAUACGUUCGUUGGGUAGGGGAGCGUUCUGUAAGCCUGUGAAGGUGUGUCGUGAGGCAUGCUGGAGGUAUCAGAAGUGCGAAUGCUGACAUAAGUAACGAUAAAGCGGGUGAAAAGCCCGCUCGCCGGAAGACCAAGGGUUCCUGUCCAACGUUAAUCGGGGCAGGGUGAGUCGACCCCUAAGGCGAGGCCGAAAGGCGUAGUCGAUGGGAAACGGGUUAAUAUUCCCGUACUUGGUGUUACUGCGAAGGGGGGACGGAGAAGGCUAUGUUGGCCGGGCGACGGUUGUCCCGGUUUAAGCGUGUAGGUGUGUGUUCCAGGUAAAUCCGGUUCACUUUAACACUGAGGCGUGACGACGAGGCACUACGGUGCUGAAGCAACAAAUGCCCUGCUUCCAGGAAAAGCCUCUAAGCAUCAGGUAACAUCAAAUCGUACCCCAAACCGACACAGGUGGUCAGGUAGAGAAUACCAAGGCGCUUGAGAGAACUCGGGUGAAGGAACUAGGCAAAAUGGUGCCGUAACUUCGGGAGAAGGCACGCUGACACGUAGGUGAAGUGAUUUACUCAUGGAGCUGAAGUCAGUCGAAGAUACCAGCUGGCUGCAACUGUUUAUUAAAAACACAGCACUGUGCAAACACGAAAGUGGACGUAUACGGUGUGACGCCUGCCCGGUGCCGGAAGGUUAAUUGAUGGGGUCAGCGCAAGCGAAGCUCCUGAUCGAAGCCCCGGUAAACGGCGGCCGUAACUAUAACGGUCCUAAGGUAGCGAAAUUCCUUGUCGGGUAAGUUCCGACCUGCACGAAUGGCGUAAUGAUGGCCAGGCUGUCUCCACCCGAGACUCAGUGAAAUUGAACUCGCUGUGAAGAUGCAGUGUACCCGCGGCAAGACGGAAAGACCCCGUGAACCUUUACUAUAGCUUGACACUGAACAUUGAGCCUUGAUGUGUAGGAUAGGUGGGAGGCUUUGAAGUGUGGACGCCAGUCUGCAUGGAGCCGACCUUGAAAUACCACCCUUUAAUGUUUGAUGUUCUAACGUGGACCCGUAAUCCGGGUUGCGGACAGUGUCUGGUGGGUAGUUUGACUGGGGCGGUCUCCUCCUAAAGAGUAACGGAGGAGCACGAAGGUUGGCUAAUCCUGGUCGGACAUCAGGAGGUUAGUGCAAUGGCAUAAGCCAGCUUGACUGCGAGCGUGACGGCGCGAGCAGGUGCGAAAGCAGGUCAUAGUGAUCCGGUGGUUCUGAAUGGAAGGGCCAUCGCUCAACGGAUAAAAGGUACUCCGGGGAUAACAGGCUGAUACCGCCCAAGAGUUCAUAUCGACGGCGGUGUUUGGCACCUCGAUGUCGGCUCAUCACAUCCUGGGGCUGAAGUAGGUCCCAAGGGUAUGGCUGUUCGCCAUUUAAAGUGGUACGCGAGCUGGGUUUAGAACGUCGUGAGACAGUUCGGUCCCUAUCUGCCGUGGGCGCUGGAGAACUGAGGGGGGCUGCUCCUAGUACGAGAGGACCGGAGUGGACGCAUCACUGGUGUUCGGGUUGUCAUGCCAAUGGCACUGCCCGGUAGCUAAAUGCGGAAGAGAUAAGUGCUGAAAGCAUCUAAGCACGAAACUUGCCCCGAGAUGAGUUCUCCCUGAGACUUAGAGUCUCCUGAAGGAACGUUGAAGACGACGACGUUGAUAGGCCGGGUGUGUAAGCGCAGCGAUGCGUUGAGCUAACCGGUACUAAUGAACCGUGAGGCUUAACCUUACA